UGUCUCCAGGCUAUUUAUCUGUGAUUCCAUUUUGAUUUCAAGAUUUUGGAUCAAUUUCACUAUCAUUAUUCGGAAUUCUUUAUCAGGUAGAUUCCCUAUCUCUUCCUCUUUUGUUUGGUUUGGUGGGCAUUUAUCCUGUUCCUUUAUCUGCUGGGUAUUCCUCUGUCUCUUCAUCUUGUUUAAAUUGCUGAUUUUGGGGUGUCCUUUGUGUAUUCUGGCAGUUUGUGGAGUUCUCUUUAUUGUGGGGUUUCCUCGCUCUGUGUGGGUUUGUACAGGUGGCUUGUCAAGGUUUCCUGGUUAGGGAAGCUUGUGUCGGUGUUCUGGUGGGUGGAGCUGUAUUGCUUCUCUCUGGAGUGCAGUGAAAUGUCCAGCAAUGAGUUACGGGAUGUCUAUGGUUUUGGGGUGACUUUGGGCUGCCUGUAUCUUGGAUCUCAGGGCUGUGUUCCUUGCUGCUGGAGAAUUUGCUUGGUAUGUCUUGCCCUGAAACUUGUUGCACCCAGAGAGGUUUACAGCAUUAUAUGGAGAAGAGAAGAGUGAGAAGGGAGUUAGAGGUGACCCGAUUGAGAUGAGGUGGAAUCAAUAGAGGAGAGAGUGGGCUAUUCAGUAAUCUCUUCCUUAUGUGCACUCCACAACUGGACCGCUCAGAGUUGUUCACAGAGUUAUACAGAGAAGAGAAGAAGGAGGAAGGUGGCAGAGGGGUUAGGGAGGAGACACAGGCGACCUGGUGAGAAAAAGGAGAGUCCAAAGGGAAAGAGAGCAGUUAAGCCAGUAAUCUCGCUCCCUAGUGAAAAAUGGGUACUGAAGAUUGGGCUCUUAAAGGUACAAAAUUGGUAACAAAUACAUAAAAGCAAAAAUUUAAAAUCUAGAGUAGUGUUUGGAAUUUCAAAAAUACGAUGUUAAAGAAAAGAAGAAGGAAAAGAAAGAGAGAAAAAAAUGAACAAACAAAAACAAAUAAGGUCGUGAAAAUUAUAAAGAAAAUAUAGGUACAAAAUUGAUAACUAAUACCAAAAAGCAAAAGUUAAAAAUCUAGAGUACAGUUUGGAAUUUCAAAAAUACAAUGUUAAAAAAAGAAGAAGAAAAAGAGAGAGAAGAAAAAAAACAAACAAGAACAAACAAAGUCGCCUAAAUUAUAUAUAUAUAAAAAAAAUACAGGUACAAAAUUGAUAACAAAUACCAAAAAGCAUAAAUUAAAAAUCUAGAGUUUGGAAUUUCAGAUAUACAGUAUUAUUUAAAAGAAGAAGAGAAAGAAACAGAGAAAAAGAAUAAGAAAAAAAUAAAAAAGGGUCACAGAAAUUAUAAAAAAAAAAACAAAACAACUAUAGGUACAAAAUUGAUAACAAAUACCAAAAAGCAUAAAUUAAAAAUCUAGAGUAGAGUUUGGAAUUUCAGAUAUACAAUGUUAUUUAAAAGAAGAAGAGAAAGAAACAGAGAAAAAGAAUAAGAAAAAAUAAAAGGUCACAGAAAUUAUAAAAAAAAAAAAAAAAACUAUAGGUACAAAAUUGAUAACAAAUACCAAAAAGCUAAAAUUAAAAAUCUAGAGUAGAGUUUGGAAUUUCAAAAAUACAAUGUUAAAGAAAAGAAGGAAGAAAAAAAAAAGGUCAAAAAAAAUUAUAAAAAAUACAUAUAUAUGAAGUUUGCUUUAAAAAAAAAAGGGUCUUUUUUUUUUUUUUUUGCAAAGU
ensembl:lncRNA